rnacentral:rRNA from 1 species
GGAUUGAACGCUGGCGGCAGGCCUAACACAUGCAAGUCGAGCGGUAGAGAGGUGCUUGCAUCUCUUGAGAGCGGCGGACGGGUGAGUAAUGCCUAGGAAUCUGCCUAGUGGUGGGGGAUAACGUUCGGAAACGGACGCUAAUACCGCAUACGUCCUACGGGAGAAAGCGGGGGACCUUCGGGCCUCGCGCCAUUAGAUGAGCCUAGGUCGGAUUAGCUAGUUGGUGAGGUAAUGGCUCACCAAGGCGACGAUCCGUAACUGGUCUGAGAGGAUGAUCAGUCACACUGGAACUGAGACACGGUCCAGACUCCUACGGGAGGCAGCAGUGGGGAAUAGUUGG